rnacentral:rRNA from 1 species
AUUGAACGCUGGCGGCAGGCCUAACACAUGCAAGUCGAGCGGAUGAAGGGAGCUUGCUCCUGGAUUCAGCGGCGGACGGGUGAGUAAUGCCUAGGAAUCUGCCUGGUAGUGGGGGAUAACGUCCGGAAACGGGCGCUAAUACCGCAUACGUCCUGAGGGAGAAAGUGGGGGAUCUUCGGACCUCACGCUAUCAGAUGAGCCUAGGUCGGAUUAGCUAGUUGGUGGGGUAAAGGCCUACCAAGGCGACGAUCCGUAACUGGUCUGAGAGGAUGAUCAGUCACACUGGAACUGGGACACGGUCCAGACUCCUACGGGAGGCAGCAGUGGGGAAUAUUGGACAAUGGGCGAAAGCCUGAUCCAGCCAGGCCGCGUGUGUGAAGAAGGUCUUCGGAUUGUAAAGCACUUUAAGUUGGGAGGAAGGGCAGUAAGUUAAUACCUUGCUGUUUUGACGUUACCAACAGAAUAAGCACCGGCUAACUUCGUG